rnacentral:hammerhead_ribozyme from 1 species
GCACUGCUGACGAGUCCCAAACAGGACCAAACAACCGUUCAGUAC